UGACACAAUGCGAAGGUUUCCCAAUUUUUUGAUUUUUUUUGAAUUUUUUAUACCCGUUUCAAAAUGCGGUCAAAACGGCGGGAAUGACCGUUCCUAGCUAGUGGUUGAAUCUUGGAAUUUUUUUGGUGUUUCUCUGAUUAAAUAGGUCCUUAUGUAACUAGAAAUGAUUUUUGGAAAAAAUAAGUAGCAAACUAUGAGGCAGCUGCAGUUCAAAUUUGACCCGCUUCCAGCUGAAUCGGCGAAAAUUUGUCUUUUUCACGAGAGGUGAAUCAAAAUUUUUUACACCUAACCAUUUUGUAAAUUAUGCAUUAAAUAUGGCCUAGUAUUUUAUAAAAAUGAUUCGGUCCAAUUUUGCAACAAUUAUUUGGUAGUUCCUUCACAAAAAAACCUCCUUUCGGGCACUCGAAAAAUGGAAAAUGGUUUUUUCGUCCAACGAAAAUGAAAACUUCCUUAGGAAACAUUGUUUGCCAUUCCAAGAUGCACCCUUUUGCACAAUAUGAGAUCAUUUGAACAAACUAUGCCAACAAUGUGGCCAUAAGAUUGAUCAUUUGGCUUGAAAGCCAUGAAUCUUCACGCAUGAUAGCUUAUUUUUGAGAACACUUUUUUAAAAUAAUUGUCGUAUUGCAAGUUUGUUAUUUUCCCAGGUAACUUGGCCACAUAUGAUGACACAAUGCGAAGGUUUCCCAAUUUUUUGAUUAUUUUUGAAUUUUUUAUGCCCGUUUCAAAAUGCGGUCAAAACGGCGGGAAUGACCGUUCCUAGCUAGUGGUUGAAUUUUGAAAUUUUUUUGGUGUUUCUCUGAUUAAAUAGAUACUUAUGUACCUAGAAAUGAUUUUUUGAAAGAAUAAAGAGCAAACUAUGAGGCA
rnacentral:lncRNA from 1 species